rnacentral:tRNA from 1 species
GCGUUUAGCUCAGCUGGUUCAGAGCAUCUGCCUUACAAGCAGAGGGUCGGCGGUUCGAAUCCGUCAACGC